GUCUCUGGUGAUGAAAAAAUAUGAAAACUUUCGUUCUUCUGAUGCGCUUUCUCGUUGUGCGUUGCGGAAGCAAUCUGAGACCUGAACUGAAGAGAC